rnacentral:rRNA from 1 species
GUGGGGAAUAUUGGACAAUGGGCGAAAGCCUGAUCCAGCCAUGCCGCGUGUGUGAAGAAGGUCUUCGGAUUGUAAAGCACUUUAAGUUGGGAGGAAGGGCAGUAACCUAAUACGUUGCUACUUUGACGUUACCGACAGAAUAAGCACCGGCUAACUUCGUGCCAGCAGCCGCGGUAAUACGAAGGGUGCAAGCGUUAAUCGGAAUUACUGGGCGUAAAGCGCGCGUAGGUGGUUCAGUAAGUUGGAAGUGAAAUCCCCGGGCUCAACCUGGGAACUGCUUUAAAAACUGCUGAGCUAGAGUACGGUAGAGGGUGGUGGAAUUUGCUGUGUAGCGGUGAAAUGCGUAGAUAUAGGAAGGAGCACCAGUGGCGAAGGCGACCACCUGGACUGAUACUGACACUGAGGUGCGAAAGCGUGGGGAGCAAACAGGAUUAGAUACCCCUGUAGUCC